UUCUCGUUACGAUUCGGUGAAUCGACGCCGCGAAGUAAUCGUUCCCCUGUUUCGGUUAAGAUAAGAGGUGGUUAAAUGAAUAUGACACAGUAUAGUAAGUUAUAUUUCACCGUUUAUUCCAACAACUUAUAACGAAGGCAGUUACGCUGAUGCGUAUGUACGAGAUGAAUAAGUGACUGAUCUGUGGGUGUGUCCUACCCGGUGGAAGGAUAUUGACCGUUCGAAGGAUGUAAAAUCAGAACUGUCUUGGGAGACGAUGCUGUCUCGGAGGAAAGCUAAGGAUGGGUGUGUCUAGCGCACGGGACCAUCGGAUUUGUUGGUGACGAUUUUAGUUAGGAUUUUAGUUCAAGCUGAGUUGACCGUGAUUCAAUUCACGAAUAUCGGAGAGGAAAAGUCGUAAUUCACAAUAUUACACACAAUAAUACCUUCACAUAAAGGAACACAGCUCAGAUGAGACUUUUUAUAGUUAAACUUUUAACGUACUCAUAGACACGAAAAUUUUUUUUUAAAUAGAACUGUUACAUUUUACGACACGUAUAACAUCGAACAUUUACCAACAUAGCAAUGCCAGCGUACAUAUAUAUAUACUGGUGUACUGGUCAUCUUUUUUCCACACGUUUUUAGCUUUUUAGCUGAUUGUGAAUGGGCGCCUAAUCAGCCAAUCAGAAAUGGCCGGUAUUGUAUGAAUCCUUUUCUUCAAUGCUUGAAGAGCUGGAUAUUUAUCCAAAACUGGUGCCCCAAACAUAUAUUCGAAAUUUUCAAGGGUCUCUGCAAAUACGAAGUCCGCCCAUGUCGUCUGAAAAAAGGAUCCUCCUCCAUGCGACAGUAGCAGAUAGCUGAAACGUAUAUGAAACCAACCGUUACGUUCAUUUGUGUUUUUCCCCCCAAACGAAGAGAAAAUAAGUUGUGAAAGAAGGAGUAGCCUCUCAUAGUUCCUACAAUUUCUUUAUUCUCUUUGCUUUCUUCAAUAUUGCCUCAACAAGUUCCUGUGGUUCACGAUACUUGAAAUAUAUACAAUGUUACCAGCGUGGAAAUUGUCUUGGAAACUUGGAAAAUCUUUCAAGAGGAACAACAUUGCUAACUGAGAUUCGAGAAAGGAAAGUACCAAGAAUGUCGAGAUAUAAACAACCAUUUGUGGAAAGGUCAGGAGAAGCAGAAUUAUCGAAUAAACGUUAUAUAACUCUUAGUGAUUAAGUAAGAGAAGAGAAACGAGAAAAAAGUCUUUUAUCUAGGUCUUAAUAAAGUAUACUAUAUUUAUCUCCAUAUCAAGAAUAACAACAAGAUAUAAACAGUCUUCUAGAAAUUGAACUCUUUGCAUCUUCUAUACAGGUAUCUCAUGAUCAUGUGAUAACACACAGGAAGAAAAAAUAGAGGAAAAAACAGCGUAAAAAAAAGUUGCGUAGGAGUAUCGUCGCACUACAUCAUUCGACAAUUGAUGCACGUCAUGGCGAUCGUCACGGUUUAAAGCAGGCCAUCAAAAACACGUUUGUUAUCGUACGGAAAAAUCUGCGACGUUCCAGCUGUUCAGGUGCAUCGAAUUGUGAAUCAUCGGCGGUACGAAGCAAGGCGAGGGGCGUAAAUAGAAAAAGAAGAGAAGAGAAGGAUUCGCAUAAAUGAUAAAAUAUAAUCGUUCGUUCCUCGUCGAUGGCGGAUGGAUAGCUUUAAUCGUGGACGAUAUCGAUACGAUUAUAUUUUAUACAUUUGAAACAAAUAUAAAAGACGAGCAAAAACCAGAGAUACGAUCGUUAUGAUAUUAUUCAAUCGGUAGCCUAUUUACCUCGUUUUUUGUUCACCUUCUCUGUCUAGUAAUAAUUUUUCGAUUCGACUGGCGUGACGUUACGUUGGCGGUGUAAAAACACGAUUUUAAACACCUGCGGAUAGUUGCAUGAGUUUCGAGCGAUUCCAUUCCCUUCGAUUUAUAUUUAUGCGAUCAACGCGCGGAUCGUUAACGCAUUAUGCAGAUAGCAGAUGUUACGUAAUCACACAUAUCGUAAUUGGAAAUUAGUAACGUUAUCGCGUACCAGGAUCUUCCUGUCUUUGAUCAUUGAGUAACACUUCGUUGUCCUCGCUCCUCCCGCGGAUAACCAGCGUUUAUCAUAUAGAGACAGGGAUUUGCAAAGAAUAAAAGUUGUAGAACGUUGAAAGGCGUUGAGAGAAACGUGAUGUUAUCCCGUUAUUCGUUAACGCAACGCAGUUAAAAAAAAUCCCGUAGGAAGAUUACGAUAAUAGAUAACCUGAGUCGAGUGUUUGUCGGGGGAUCUAAAAGAUUCUUUCCAGUUGAGCGUCUGAGAUUGCAGAGAAGAAAAUUUGGAAGCCAUCGAAUUCGUGAUGUCGAUAGAAAUCUUCAUUUGGAAUCGUUGUAUCAUAACGUAGUCUGCUUAUUGUCGAUAAGACUUUACUAAACUAAAAGUGACUACUAAAAGUUUCUAUCCUCUAAAUUCUAUCUACGAUUCUAUAAUCUAAAAACUGACUUUUGCAAACAAACUGUAACAUUCGCUUAACGGAAAGACAUACGUAUCUUGUUUGUACCCGUCUUUUCACAAUGAAUUCUUGAACGUCUGUCUCUGUGGUGAGACAAAUGCAAAGUCAUCUCAUCAGUUACUCACCUUGCUCCAAAUCUUCAAGAGUAUCGACGAGCACGUCGCAUAUCAACGCAUCCCUUUCGUUCCUUCCCAUUAGAUCGUACUUCCUCGCCAAGUAUCGCGCCACAGCGUCAGCCUGCGCUACCGGUUUCCCGUCUACCUCCAGCACAGGCAGCUUUUUAUAAGGCAUUGCUAAGAACAAACAUGGCUCAUAUGAACACUGUGUAGAGGGAAACGAUCGAUAGGAAAUCACAACACAGCUUCCGAGGCCGUUGCGUUCUUGUGAAUAGAUGAAUCGAAAUCAUUUCGGUUUUAAUCAACAUGGCCUAGUAAAGAAAUACAGAAAUGUCUUCUUUCUCCUUUUUUUCUUUUCUUACGAUUACGAUGGACAGGGUAUCGCGUGUUUUUGACUGUUGGGAAGAACCUAAAGUUUUUAAAAUCAAGGAUAAAAGAUAAUACCAAACACGGAAAAAAUAUUAGAAAAUGUACACGGUUCUUGUAAUGAAAAUUGAAAUGCAAGGAAUAUAAAUCGAAUGUCUCUUGCGAACGUAAUUUUGUGUUUUACACCGACAGGAUUGAUUUACAGACUUACGUUGAUUUUUUGUUUCUCCAUUUGCAAGCGACAUAUAAGAUUAUAUCGAAGACUAUGCUGCGUAAAACUUUUAUUAUACCAUUUACGAUAGAAAUGUCGCAACAGAAGAUCGAAUUUUAUGUCUGCUUUGUUCUUUCGACUUUUUAGCUAUGUUCUUGUUCAUUUCCGAACUGAUUUCAAUUUUUUAUCCUUUUUUUCCGACAAGUCCUAAAAAGUUUUUAAUUUAACGAGAAACGUAGAAGUAUUUUUGUAUUCCUAUUUUAAGUCACCUAUUUACGGUUUUCUCAAAAUAUUCGAAAUGCUUCGAUUCAUUGAAAACAAUAAAGAUAGCAACACAAAAAUUCGAGAAUCGUAAGUGAAUUAAGUUGGUAUUCGAUAAACACGAUAUUACGGAAGCAAAACUUAAUGAAAAGUUCGACUUUAUUCCGUAUGAAAUUUUACUUUAAGUAAGUUUAGCCUGCACGUGAAACGAAAGUUUUAUAUACAGAAAAGUUUGAGUAAAUGGUAGAUAUCUGAGAGUUGAACGAUGAAAGUAAAAAUCGAUUCUUCACGCUUACAAUCCUUGUAUUCAGGCCAGAGUUGUAGGGGGAUCCUCUCGUCGGUAUACUCGAUGCCAAUAUAUGCAAAUAUGUACCGUAUAUGUUCGGCACUACCACGGGCAUUGAAGUAGAUUAGUUUGUAGGUAGGUUCGUCGCUCAUUUUCCUUGCUCUGUCAACUUAUCGAGAAAAAUGUUACAAUUAACUCGUGUAAUUAACAGACUGUGUGCGUGUUUGUGUGUAGAGAGAACAAUUUAUUUAUAGAUGGAAUAAUUCGUAUAAUACGCAAAAUAAAUCAUUUAGAAGGCUGGAAUAUGUGUUUUUGAAACAAUUAAUUAUGUGGAAAAAUAUUUCAAACGAGAUAUAAUUAUGAAAAAAAUAAUAAUUAAAUGUAUGUAAAUGUAUGUAAUAAUAGUUAAAUGUAUGUAAAUGUAAUAAUUAAAUGUAAUUAGUUGUGAAAAAAAUAAUAAUAAAAAAUAAAUAAAUGUAAAAAAAGAAUUAAAUGUAA